rnacentral:rRNA from 1 species
AUUGAACGCUGGCGGCAGGCUUAACACAUGCAAGUCGAGCGGGGGAGGUUGCUUCGGUAACUGACCUAGCGGCGGACGGGUGAGUAAUGCUUAGGAAUCUGCCUAUUAGUGGGGGACAACAUUCCGAACGGGAUGCUAAUACCGCAUACGCCCUACGGGGGAAAGCAGGGGAUCUUCGGACCUUGCGCUAAUAGAUGAGCCUAGGUCGGAUUAGCUAGUUGGUGGGGUAAAGGCUUACCAAGGCGACGAUCUGUAGCGGGUCUGAGAGGAUGAUCCGCCAGCCUGGGGCUGAGACACGGCCCAGACUCCUUCGUGAGGCAGCAGUGGGGAAUAGUGACCUAUGGGCGGAUGCCUGAGCCUGCCAUGCCGCGUGUGUGAAGAAGGCCUUUUGGUUGUAAAUCACUUUAAGCGAGGAGGAGGAUCUUAAGGUUAAUACCCUUGGUGAGUGGACGUUACUCGCAGAAUAAGCACCGGCUAACUCUGUGCCAGCAGCCGCGGUAACAC